rnacentral:rRNA from 1 species
GUUUGAUCCUGGCUCAGGACGAACGCUGGCGGCGUGCCUAAUGCAUGCAAGUCGCACGGAUCAUCCCUUCGGGGAUGGUGAGUGGCGCACGGCUGAGGAACACGUGGGAAUGUGCCCAAGGGUGGGGGAUAACGUGCCGAAAGGCGUGCUAAUCCCGCAUACGCUGCGCAAGCAGGAAAGUCGCAAGGCGCCCCUGGAGCAGCCCGCGACCCAUCAGGUAGUUGGGGGGGUAAUGGCCUCCCAAGCCAUUGACGGGUAGCUGGUCUGAGAGGACAGACAGCCAGACUGGGACUGAGACACGGCCCAGACUCCUACGGGAGGCAGCAGCAAGGAAUUUUCGGCAAUGGGCGCAAGCCUGACCGAGCAACGCCGCGUGGUGGAUGACGGCCUUCGGGUUGUAAACACCUUUGGGGGGGGAUGACACCCGACCGUACCCCCCGAACAAGCCCCGGCUAACUCUGUGCCAGCAGCCGCGGUAAGACAGAGGGGGCAAGCGUUGUCCGGAGUUACUGGGCGUAAAGCGUCCGCAGGCGGUACCCUACGUGGAGUGUGAAAGCGCCGGGCUUAACCCGGCGAGGCCAUUGCAAACGGGGGCACUCGAGGGCGGCAGAGGAGUGGGGAAUUGCCGGUGUAGUGGUGAAAUGCGUAGAGAUCGGCAGGAACACCAAAGGGGAAGCCACCACUCUGGGCCGCACCUGACGCUCAGGGACGAAAGCGUGGGGAGCGAACCGGAUUAGAUACCCGGGUAGUCCACGCCGUAAACGAUGGAUGCUCGGCAUCUGGGACGAGACCCGUCCUGGGCGCCUCAGCUGACGCCAGAAGCAUCCCGCCUGGGAACUACGAGCGCAAGCUUAAAACUCAAAGGAAUUGACGGGGGCCCGCAC